CUUCUCCUCCCUCCGUCCGGAAAUACUUGUCAAAGAAAUGGAUAAAAAUGGAUGUAUCUAGAACUAAAAUACGUCUAGAUACAUUCAUUUUUUCGACAAAUAUUUCCGGACGGAGGGAGUAGUAA
rfam:Hordeum vulgare subsp. vulgare, WGS project CAJW01000000 data, contig: morex_contig_2556144